rnacentral:rRNA from 1 species
UACAGAGGGUGCGAGCGUUGUCCGGAAUCACUGGGCGUAAAGGGCGCGUAGGCGGCUCGGUCAGCGUGCGGUGAAAGCCCGGGGCUCAACCCCGGGUCGGCCGUGCGAACUGCGGAGCUGGAGCACUGUAGAGGCAGGUGGAAUUCCGGGUGUAGCGGUGGAAUGCGUAGAGAUCCGGAAGAACACCGGUGGCGAAGGCGGCUGCCUGGACGAAUACUGACACUGAGGCACGAAAGCAUGGGGAGCAAACAGG